rnacentral:rRNA from 1 species
AAACCGUCCGAAAGGACAACUUUCAUCGAACUUUGACCUCAAAUCAGGUGGGACUACCCGCUGAACUUAAGCAUAUCAAUAAGCGGAGGA